UCCAGACUCCUACGGGAGGCAGCAGUGAGGAAUAUUGGUCAAUGGGCGGGAGCCUGAACCAGCCAAGUAGCGUGAAGGAUGACUGCCCUAUGGGUUGUAAACUUCUUUUAUAUGGGAAUAAAAUGUUCCACGUGUGGAAUUUUGUAUGUACCAUAUGAAUAAGGAUCGGCUAACUCCGUGCCAGCAGCCGCGGUAAUACGGAGGAUCCGAGCGUUAUCCGGAUUUAUUGGGUUUAAAGGGAGCGUAGGUGGAUUGUUAAGUCAGUUGUGAAAGUUUGCGGCUCAACUGUAAAAUUGCAGUUGAAACUGGCAGUCUUGAGUACAGUAGAGGUGGGCGGAAUUCGUGGUGUAGCGGUGAAAUGCUUAGAUAUCACGAAGAACUCCGAUUGCGAAGGCAGCUCACUGGACUGCAACUGACACUGAGGCUCGAAAGUGUGGGUAUCAAACAGGAUUAGAUACCCGAGUA
rnacentral:rRNA from 1 species